GAGGAAGAACUAACAGGAUUCCCCUAGUAACUGCGAGUGAAGCGGGAAAAGCUCAAAUUUAAAAUCUGACGGUUUCAUCGUCCGAGUUGUAAUCUGGAGAAGCAUUUUCGGUGUCAGACCGUGUACAAGUCUCUUGGAAUAGAGUGUCAUAGAGGGUGAGAGUCCCGUCCAUGACACGGAUCCUGAUGCUAUGUGAUAUGCUCUCGAAGAGUCGAGUUGUUUGGGAAUGCAGCUCAAAAUGGGUGGUAAAUUCCAUCUAAAGCUAAAUAUUGGCGAGAGACCGAUAGCGAACAAGUACCGUGAGGGAAAGAUGAAAAGCACUUUGGAAAGAGAGUUAAACAGUACGUGAAAUUGUUGAAAGGGAAACGCUUGAAGUCAGUCGCGUUGUCUGGAACUCAGCCUUGCUUGCAUGGUGUACUUUCCAGUUAACGGGUCAACAUCAAUUUUGGUUGGUGGAUAAAGGCAGAGGGAAUGUGGCAUCUUUUGGUGUGUUAUAGCCCUUUGUUGCAUACGCUGACUGGGAUUGAGGAAUGCAGCACGCCUUCAUGGCCGGGGGUUCGCCCUACGUAACGUGCUUAGGAUGUUGGCAUAAUGGCUUUAAGUGACCCGUCUUGAAACACGGACCAAGGAGUCUAACAUGCUCGCGAGUGUUAGGGUGGAAAACCCUUGCGCGUAAUGAAAGUGAAAGUUGGGAGCCUUUGCUGGUGCACCGACGCCCGGCCCUGAAGUUCUCUGACGGUGCUGCGGUAGAGCGCGUAUGUUGGGACCCGAAAGAUGGUGAACUAUGCCUGAAUAGGGUGAAGCCAGGGGAAACUCUGGUGGAGGCUCGUAGCGAUUCUGACGUGCAAAUCGAUCGUCAAAUUUGGGUAUAGGGGCGAAAGACUAAUCGAACCAUCUAGUAGCUGGUUCCUGCCGAAGUUUCCCUCAGGAUAGCAGAAACUCAUAUCAGAUUUAUGUGGUAAAGCGAAUGAUUAGAGGCCUUGGGGCUGUAACAGCCUUAACCUAUUCUCAAACUUUAAAUAUGUAAGAACAAGCCGUCUCUUAGUUGGACCGUUUGUCGAUUGAGAGUUUCUAGUGGGCCAUUUUUGGUAAGCAGAACUGGCGAUGCGGGAUGAACCGAACGUGAGGUUAAGGUGCCGGAAUGCACGCUCAUCAGACACCACAAAAGGUGUUAGUUCAUUUAGACAGCAGGACGGUGGCCAUGGAAGUCGGAAUCCGCUAAGGAGUGUGUAACAACUCACCUGCCGAAUGAACUAGCCCUGAAAAUGGAUGGCGCUCAAGCGUGCUACCCAUACCUCACCGUCAGCGUUGAAGUGACGCGCUGACGAGUAGGCAGGCGUGGAGGUCAGUGAAGAAGCCUGGCAGGAGCUGGUCGCCC
rnacentral:rRNA from 1 species